UGCGUAGGUGGCCGAUUAAGUCAGUGGUGAAAGCCUACAGCUCAACUGUAGAGGUGCCAUUGAUACUGGUCGGCUUGAGUAUGGACGAGGUAGGCGGAAUUUGUGGUGUAGCGGUGAAAUGCAUAGAUACCACAAAGAACACCAAUAGCGAAGGCAGCUUACUGGACCAUAACUGACACUGAGGCACGAAAGCGUGGGGAGCAAACAGGAUUAGAUACCCUGGUAGUCC
rnacentral:rRNA from 1 species